AUCAAGGAGACCUUUCUCAACAAGUCCUGGUGCUUGCCUGAUGAAGUGAGCUACUCAGGCAGCUCAGGGUGAAGACCAUGGGGAGCACCACAAAGAGCUGCAGAUCAGUUCCAGGAUCACAGGUCGCCAUGAAAUGAAGGAUAAAAGAGGGAAAGGAUUAUGCCAGGAAACCAUGAGAAAAAGCAGUUUCAUCUCUCUGUCAAGGACUCACCAUUAACAGAGAGAGAAAUUAUAACCUGUGUCCAGCAAGCUCACUGCCUGGCAAUCUUCCUCCCUUUCAUUUGCAGAGUGGCACACUAAAGCUGGCAAGACAGACUUUAUGCAAAGCCCUUCUGCAAUAAAGGAAACUUCUCUGCAGACAAAUGUUGGAUUAAACCAAUUCCCUGGACCAAGUGGUAGGGCACAGAUUUUGCUCCUGUUCUUUGAGAUGAGCCUCUUACCAGCUGUUAUGCCUAUGAA